AGCCCGGAGGUGCAUUGCAUAUAAGGUUGCAAACCUUAAGGAGCAGGUUAGCCCCUGCCUGGGCUU
rnacentral:tRNA from 1 species